rnacentral:rRNA from 1 species
GAUGAACGCUGGCGGCGUGCCUAAUACAUGCAAGUCGAGCGAACAGACGAGGAGCUUGCUCCUCUGACGUUAGCGGCGGACGGGUGAGUAACACGUUGAUAACCUACCUAUAAGACUGGGAUAACUUCGGGAAACCGGAGCUAAUACCGGAUAAUAUAUUGAACCUCAUGGUUCAAGAGUGAAAUACGGGUUUGCUGUCACUUAUAGAUGGAUCCGCGCCGCAUUAGCUAGUUUGUAAGGUAACGGCUUACCAAGGCGACGAUGCGUAGCCGACCUGAGAGAGUGAUCGGCCACACUGGAACUGAGACACGGUCCAGACUCCUACGGGAGGCAGCAGUAGGGAAUCUUACGCAAUGGGCGAGAGCCUGACGGAGCAACGCCGCGUGAGUGAUGAAGGUCUUCGGAUCGUAAAACUCUGUUAUUAGGGAAGAACCAAUGUGUAAGUAACCAUGCACGUCUUGACGGUACCUAAUCAGAAAGCCACGGCUAACUACGUG